rnacentral:rRNA from 1 species
UAGGGAAUAUUGCGCAAUGGGCGAUGAGCCUGACGCAGCGACGCCGCGUGAACGAUGAAGGCCUUCGGGUCGUAAAGUUCUGUCAGCAGGGAAGAAGGUAAGAUAGGUGAAUAAUCUAUAGUGCUUGACGGUACCUGCAGAGGAAGCCCCGGCUAAUUACGUGCCAGCAGCCGCGGUAACACGUAAGGGGCAAGCGUUGUCCGGAAUCACUGGGCGUAAAGGGAGCGUAGGUGGUAAGAAAAGUCAGAUGUGAAAGUUUGCGGCUCAACCGUAAAAUUGCAUUUGAAACUUUCUUACUAGAGUAUCGGAGAGGAAAGCGGAAUUCCCGGUGUAGCGGUGAAAUGCGCAGAUAUCAGGAAGAACACCAAUGGCGAAGGCAGCUUUCUGGAAGAUAACUGACAC